rnacentral:SRP_RNA from 1 species
GCUGGGUGUGGUGGUGGCUCACACCUGUAAUCCCAGCACUUUGGGAGGCUGAGGUGGGUGAAUCGCCUGAGGUCAGGAGUUUGAGACCAGCCUGGCCAACAUGGCGAAAACCCAUCUCUG